CAAUUUUAUUUUGAGCAGACAGAACCAAGAUAUAAAAAGUAAGAGAGAAAGAUGAAAGUAGAAAGGUGAGCCAUGAGUGUUGGAAGGACAGAGGAUGGGCAGAAUGCAAGCCCUCCGGCAUUCUCAAGCGAGGUGGGGGGACACCCGCACAGGAAGAGAUAGUUCCUGAGAAUGUGUCCACUGCCUGUGUGACCCAGGCACCAUGCAGGGCUCACGGGACACAAGCACAAGGCAGGCCAAGGCCAAUGCCAGGGCUCUGAGCUUCGGGAGCGAGGGGAAUUGAGGGCAUGCCCCCCCGGGGUGGGGUCUGCCAGAGACCGCAGGGCUGCACUGUGGCCCAGGGGCGUCACCCUCCGUGUGCACAGCUGGUGUCGGCACGGGCAAGGAAGCUGUUUCCAGAAGGCAGGCACGGUCACCAGACACAGCUGAAGGGUGACAAAGACAGAAGUGCUCCUGGAUGUCCCGGCCACUGAGGACACUGACCAGGGUCAGGGGCCUUGGGGUUGGGCUCCGACGUGGUGACGAGGUGAGUGCGAGGGAGCAUGGGAGACACCGGAGCAGUGACAGGGGCCUUCUUUCCCUGCCCGGAGGAGACCUAGGCCUGUCCACCUCACCACUCAUGUUUAUUUCUUCUAAGUUAAGGUUGCUAAGUCCCACAGGCUCCAAACAAGGGCCACUGUGGGAAGCUGAAUGUCACAUAGAAAACCCACCCUCACUGACUCGAAGAACCGGAACCAGAGCUAGAACUGCGGUCAACUGCAGCAGCCAGAAGUGAGGAGACGUCAGAAGACAAUCACCGAGGGGAGCCCACACCCUGAGCAUGAACGCGGCUCUCUGGUCAACCUAGCUAGCACAUGCUGCAUGUGGUGGGGACAGGGGCUGACAUCAAGCCCAGCCCCAGAGUCUCCAUGGUGGUUUAUCCAUAACGUCCAGGAACUGCUAGACGUGAGGAACAACAACAAGAUGUGACCAAACUCGAGAGAAAAGACAAGGGAACUAACUCGAUGUGAUCCAGAAGCUACUAGUGGGGAAAAUUAUAACAGCAGGUGUAAUACAGGCCCAGGAGCAACAUCAGAGUACUCAACAGGCCUGGUAAACUUGAAGCAACAGUAAAAGCCACCACCAAAAAUGAAAACCAGAGAAAAUUCUGGAAAAAAAAGAGGACAAUCAGUUGAAGCAGGGGAUAGUAUACACAGAUAAUUGGAGUUCCGUAAGGAGAGGAGAGAGGGACAGGAGGGAAUUUCCCCCAGACAGGGAGAAAACACUAGAGGUCACACGCUGGUAAAGGAAAGGUCCCCAGAAUUCAUAAGGGCCACAAGCAACGUUGAGAAGACAGACCCCCAACAAACUGACAGGGGAGGAUUCGGGCACUUGGAGGAGGAGACAAACCUAUGAGCAGCUGCGCGACACCGGUGGUCAGAGAGAGAGGGGCACUGAAACCACCAUGAGCUACCGCGACGCACCCACCAGGACGGCGGAAGUGAAAAACGGGUCGUACCAAACGUGCGCGGAGACGAGGCACAGCUUUGGAGGUCGUGAGCAAAAGUGGCCGCUCGCGCAUAGAAUACCGCCUUUACUUGUAAACGUGACUGCAGGUAAGCGUGGCUACUCAGACUCGGGUUCGUGCCAGACUGUCUCAAAAAGGAACCAAGGGGCCACCACAUCAAGGAAAAGAGGAACAGGCAAGCGUUUUGCCAAGGAUAAAAUCUGAGCUUUCAAACGGAAGGAUUUCAGAAACCUUGCGUAUCGGCCACCACGAGCCGGACGUCUUCCCGAUGCCGUAUUUUCUGACGAGGCUGGUGGUGAUUUCUGCAAAUAUGGUGUUCUGAUACGUAUAAUGAAAUGUGUCAACAGCUUCCAACUCCGCAAACAACAUGAUGUCAUAAAACGAUGUGUGUGUAAAAGAUCUGAGACAGACCAUCGAGUUUUAAACGUGACAGAAUACAACAGCAUUCCAACAUCGCAACUAACUUUUGAGAAUUGCCACCUGGGGCGCCUAGGUGGCUCAGCUGACUUCAGGUCAGGUCAUGAUCUCAUAGUUCGUGAGUUCGAGCCCCACAUUGGGCUCUCUGCUCUCAGCACAGAGCCUGCUUCAAAUCCUCUGUCCUUAAAAAUAAAUAAACAUUAAAAGAAAAGAAUUACCACUUGUUGACUUGUGGCGCAGCAUCAAAGGUGGCCUGCACGUGUCUGAAGAGGCCCCUUCACCUACGUAUUGCUGUGAGGCUACAUUUUCUUCAUAUAUUUCAGCUAAGAAAAACCCUAUUUCACCAAGUUGAGUGCAAAAGCAGAAA